CGACCGGCGCACGGGUGAGUAACACGUAUCCAACCUGCCGUCUACUCUUGGACAGCCUUCUGAAAGGAAGAUUAAUACAAGAUGGCAUCACGAGUUCACAUGUUCACAUGAUUAAAGGUAUUCCGGUAGACGAUGGGGAUGCGUUCCAUUAGAUAGUAGGCGGGGUAACGGCCCACCUAGUCUUCGAUGGAUAGGGGUUCUGAGAGGAAGGUCCCCCGCAUUGGAACUGAGACACGGUCCAA
rnacentral:rRNA from 1 species